GUCUACAACCAUAUCACCUGAAUGCGCCUAAUCUAGUCUGAUCUCAGAAGAUAAGCAGGGUUGGGCCUGGUUGGUUUUUGGAUGGGAGAAAUGAAAAGUGAGACA
rnacentral:rRNA from 1 species